GAAGUCGUUACUCCAACCCUUGUGGAGGAGGACGCCGAAGGUGGGGCUAAUGACUGGGGUGAAGUCGUAACAAGGUAGCCGUACCGGAAGGUGCGGCUGGAUCACCUCCUAACAGGGAGACAACAAAAUGUAAAUAUUAAUUUUGUCACCUUAGGUCGAUCGGUAUCUCAGAUUCUUAUUUUAAGAAUUUCAGUUUCUAAGUUUUUUCUAGGUCACACCCAUCACUUUUUCCUGGGCCAUUAGCUCAGGUGGUUAGAGCGCACCCCUGAUAAGGGUGAGGUCCCUGGUUCAAGUCCAGGAUGGCCCAUAUCUCUAUGUUGGGGGUAUAGCUCAGUUGGUAGAGCGCCUGCUUUGCAAGCAGGAUGUCAGCGGUUCGAGUCCGCUUACCUCCACUGAAUACCACCUCUUACAUAUAUUUAAAGUGGGAAAUAGUUUUGAUUUGUGUCCUAAUUUGCUCUGAGCGAAUCUAGCUUCCUAUUUAUUCAAUAAAUAAGAUGCUGGACUCAUUGAAUUUUUAUUCCUUGUUUUCAGAGAACCUUGACAACUGCAUAGAUUAUUUUUUUAAAGACAAUAAGCAUCUUUAAUGAUGCAGAUUUAUUAUUUGUGCGAAUGCAUUAAAUAACAAUUCUAUUAAGCUGAUGCUUCAAUUAUUGAAGUUAUUGGUCAAGCUACAAAG
rnacentral:misc_RNA from 1 species